rnacentral:lncRNA from 1 species
AUUUUCACUACGCUGGGGGCGUAGGCCAUCACGCGCCGCGUGAUGGAGCUCACAGGGAGCCCAGAUUUUGACUCUGAUCACGCGCCGCGUGAUGCCUUACCACGCGCGGCGUGAAGCUUUGCUGAAGAAAAAGAUUGCUCUCUGACUUGAUCACGCGCCGCGUGAUUCUGUUACCACGCGCGGCGUAGUUGAUGAAAUUGCAACCACGCGCGGCGUGACAGAUCUAGCGCGCGGCGUGGUUG